rnacentral:rRNA from 1 species
CGGACGGGUGAGUAACACGUGGAUAACCUACCUAUAAGACUGGGAUAACUUCGGGAAACCGGAGCUAAUACCGGAUAAUAUUUUAAACCGCAUGGUUCAAAAGUGAAAGACGGUCUUGCUGUCACUUAUAGAUGGAUCCGCGCUGCAUUAGCUAGUUGGUAAGGUAACGGCCUACCAAGGCAACGAUGCAUAGCCGACCUGAGAGGGUGAUCGGCCACACUGGAACUGAGACACGGUCCAG